GUCCAUAGUAGACCAUUAGAAUUCGUGGCAAGGUGUUCCUUUGUAAGUAAAGUACCUAAGGUACAAAGCUUGAAGAUGAGUAUUGUUGGUGUGAUGAAUCGUUGCGUGCGCGGGGAAACAAAAGAGGGUUUUUGUUUAAAUGUAAUCUAAAUAUUUGACGUCGAUGGCUUGUAAUAUUUUUGGAUCCAAUAAAUAUUCUUUAGUUUUAAUUCAAUAAUUUUGAUA